rnacentral:rRNA from 1 species
UACGUAGGGGGCAAGCGUUGUCCGGAAUCAUUGGGCGUAAAGAGCGUGUAGGCGGCCCGGUAAGUCCGCUGUGAAAGUCGAGGGCUCAACCCUCGAAUGCCGGCGGAUACUGUCGGGCUAGAGUCCGGAAGAGGCGAGUGGAAUUCCUGGUGUAGCGGUGAAAUGCGCAGAUAUCAGGAGGAACACCUACGGCGAAGGCAGCUCGCUGGAACGGUACUGACGCUGAGGCGCGAAAGCGUGGGGAGCGAACAGG